rnacentral:lncRNA from 1 species
GCCUAUUGUCUACCUAUGCUAAUUAGAAUUCUGAUGCUUAACAGGGCUCCCAACAUCCUUCUGGUGAGAUAUUACCCCUUGCCCAUUAGACUCUCAUUAUGAAAAAGACAAAAGGUCAGUGUCAGAAAGGGUGAAGAGAAAAAGGAUCUCUUAUACAUUGCUGUGGGAAUCUGCAUUGGGGUACCCAUUGGAAAACAAUAUGGAGUUCCUCCAAAAAGUUAAAAAUAAAACUAGUGUAUGAUCCAGCAACCUCAUGUCUAGAUAUGUAUCCAAAGGAAACACAGUUAAAAUGUCAAGGAGAUAUCUGUGCUCCUAUUUUCAAAGCGGGAUUAAAUAAAAUAGAGAAGACAUAUUAUAGCCUAAGUAUAUUGAUGGACAAAAAGUUACAGAAAAUGUGAUAUACACACUCCAUAGUAUUAUUGAGCCUUUAAAAAGAAGAAAAUUCUUUCAUUUGCAAAAAUUAAUGAUGAACUGGAAGUUCGUUAUGCUAGGUGGAAUAAAACAAGCACUGAAAGACGAACCUGCGUAGACUCAUAUAUAUAUAAAGCAGAGAACAGAGCAGUGUUUGCCAGAGGCUGUCAGAGGGCAGGAGGGGAAGAGGAAUGGAUGCUGGCCAAAUAGUCCAAAGUUUCACUGGAAUAAGGUAAAUAAGUUCUGUAGAUCUACUGUGCAGCCUGGUAACUACAGUUAAUAGUCAAGUAUUGUUUAGGAGAAAAUUGCUCAAAGGGAGAAAAGUCAGUGCUUAUUGAAUGUCUGAAAUGUCAGAGAGAGAAUAGUCGGUGCUUAUUGAAUGUGCAUAUUUUAUACAAAUUUUAUUAAGUAAUUCAAACAGCUAUAUGAAUAGUUCUUUUGUUACACCCACUUGAAGAAGACAGCAAGACACAGAAAGCUGAAACUGUGUUCCAAGUUUAACCAGCAAAUGAAUGGUAGAGGUGGAAUUCAGAAUUGAGCGGUUGGAUCACAAAGACUGUGUUUAUUCCUAAAUAUUUUGUCAUCUAAGGUAGACAUUUAAAAAUGUGACUCAAAACAUUAUGGGAGAGCAUUUGUUUAUGAAAAGAGAAAAUGAGUUCUUAGUGGAAGUACUGAAAGGAAAAAUGAGAAUACAUUUUUUAAGUAUCAAGGGUAACUAAACCAGUCAUGUAAAUUUUCAAUUAUUUGGGUUUUAAAUGCUUACUGGUACUAUUCAAAAACUAAACGUGUCAUGAAAUCACUAUGAUAUUAUUGUAAAAAGCAUGACCAUUUUCAAUAUGGAAUUGAAUUUCAGCUUUAUCACUCCCUGUCUGAGCAACUUUCAGUGUUGGGUCUAUUUUUUUAAAGAGUAUGAAGUGAGAACAUCUUUUGAG